rnacentral:rRNA from 1 species
GGUUGAUCCUGCCAGUAGCAUAUGCUUGUCUCAAGGACUAAGCCAUGCAUGUCUAAGUAUAAAUACCUUUAUACUGUGAAACUGCAGAAGGCUCAUUAAACCAGUUAUAAUUUAUUUGAUGGUGAAAUUGCUACAUGGAUACCCGUAGUAAUUCUAGAGCUAAUACAUGCGUAAAGUCCUGACUCUUUGCGGGAAGGGAUGUAUUUAUUAGAUAAAAAACCAAUCUGUGAGGGGGGGCAACCUUUUCUCGCAGCCCUGUGGUGAAUCAUAAUAACUGUUUCGAAUCGCACGC